rnacentral:rRNA from 1 species
GAUGAACGCUGGCGGCGUGCCUAAUACAUGCAAGUCGAGCGAACAGACGAGGAGCUUGCUCCUCUGACGUUAGCGGCGGACGGGUGAGUAACACGUGGAUAACCUACCUAUAAGACUGGGAUAACUUCGGGAAACCGGAGCUAAUACCGGAUAACAUGUUGAACCACAUGGUUCAACAGUGAAAGACGGUCUUGCUGUCACUUAUAGAUGGAUCCGCGCCGCAUUAGCUAGUUGGUAAGGUAACGGCUUACCAAGGCAACGAUGCGUAGCCGACCUGAGAGGGUGAUCGGCCACACUGGAACUGAGACACGGUCCAGACUCCUACGGGAGGCAGCAGUAGGGAAUCUUCCGCAAUGGGCGAAAGCCUGACGGAGCAACGCCGCGUGAGUGAAGAAGGUCUUCGGAUCGUAAAACUCUGUUGUUAGGGAAGAACAAAUGUGUAAGUAACUAUGCACGUCUUGACGGUACCUAAUCAGAAAGCCACGGCUAACUACGUG